rnacentral:rRNA from 1 species
UACAGAGGGUGCGAGCGUUAAUCGGAAUUACUGGGCGUAAAGCGCUCGUAGGCGGCUUGGUAUGUCGGGCGUGAAAUCCCCGGGCUCAACCUGGGAACUGCAUCCGAAACUGCCUUGCUCGAGUAUGGGAGAGGGAAGUGGAAUUUCCGGUGUAGCGGUGAAAUGCGUAGAUAUCGGAAGGAACAUCAGUGGCGAAGGCGACUUCCUGGACCAAUACUGACGCUCAGGUGCGAAAGCGUGGGGAGCAAACAGG